rnacentral:rRNA from 1 species
UUGAACUCAGCAAAUUGACACCGUAACUUCGGGAGAAGGUGUGCCGCUGGCGGUUAGUGACUUCGCGUCACGAAGCUGUCGGUGGUCGCAGUGAAAUGGCGGUUGUGACUGUUUACUAAAAACACAGGACUCUGCGAAGUCGUAAGACGACGUAUAGGGUCUGAUGCCUGCCCGGUGCUGGAAGGUUAAGGGGAUAUGUCAGCGCAAGCGAAGCAUUGAACCGAAGCCCCAGUAAACGGCGGCCGUAACUAUAACGGUCCUAAGGUAGCGAAAUUCCUUGUCGGGUAAGUUCCGACCUGCACGAGGGCAUAACAACAUCCACACUGUCUCGACCAGGGACUCAGCGAAAUUACAUUGGGGGUGAAGAUGCCCUCUACCCGCGGAAAGACGGAAAGACCCCAUGAACCUUUACUGCAACUUGGCAGUGAUUUUCGGGUUGUUCUGCGUAGGAUAGGUGGGAGGCUUUGAAGCCGGGCUUCCGGGUUCGGCAGAGCCAACGUUGAAAUACCACCCUGAAUAAUCUGGAAAUCUAACCUGCGCCCAUGAUCUGGGCGAGGGACACUGCCUGGUGGGCAGUUUGACUGGGGCGGUCGCCUCCUAAAUUGUAACGGAGGCGUGCGACGGUUCCCUCAGGCUGAUUGGAAACCAGCCGUAGAGUGCAAACGCAUAAGGGAGCUUUACUGCGAGACUGACAAGUCGAACAGUUGCGAAAGCAGGUGUUAGUGAUCCGGUGGUACCACAUGGAAGGGCCAUCGCUCAUCGGAUAAAAGGUACUCUGGGGAUAACAGGCUGAUCGCGCCUGAGAGUUCACAUCGGCGGCGCGGUUUGGCACCUCGAUGUCGGCUCAUCGCAUCCUGGGGCUGGAGCAGGUCCCAAGGGUUUGGCUGUUCGCCAAUUAAAGCGGUACGCGAGCUGGGUUUAAAACGUCGUGAGACAGUUUGGUCCCUAUCUUCCGUGGGCGCAGGACACUUGAGAGGAGCUAUCCAUAGUACGAGAGGACCUGGAUGGACGAACCUCUGGUGCUCCGGUUGUCACGCAGUGGCAUAGCCGGGUAGCCAUGUUCGGAACAGAUAACCGCUGAAGGCAUAUAAGCGGGAAGCUGGCCUCAAGACUAGGUGUCCCUGACGCAAGUCACUAAAGGCCCCUCGAAGACUACGAGGUUGAUAGGCUCGGUGUGGAAGCGCUGCGAGGCGUGGAGCUAACGAGUACUAAUAGGCCGUGCGACUUGACCUC